GAUGAACAGCACAGUUCAGAGGUUCGAUAUCGAUGAAGAUGAACAACGUUCACUAUAGUUCACUCAUGGUCCUCAAAAGUUCAACUAGCCUUUUCUAUUGUUUGCAUUCAUUGAACUUGUUCCGUGUCGUACAAACUACCAUUAGGACCUUCUGUUGAAUUUGAGAGAUGAUUGGACAGUCUGCCACACGUUGUCUUGUAGUCGCCAUCGUCUUGGAGGGAUUUUUGAUGACGUCGGAAGGUUGUGGGAGAUCUGGGCCACGCCUCUCUGGACCAGCUUUGGAAGAGUGCCAAAAUAAUUGCGCGAGCAUCCAUAACACCCGACAUUGUCAAGGCCGUACAAGCCGCAAGGGAACCCGGAUGUGUAUUCGCCGGGUCGCGUCUGAUUAUCAUGGCUGUGUACAUGGGUGCUGAUGACGUCAUGGAGAUAGUUUUGAUGUACAUGUAUGUACAUAUAUUGCAGCUUUUAAAUGCUGACACACUCACAGAGCACAGAACGGACCAACAAAUACACCCAAGAUACUGCGAACAGUUACAGAAAAAAACAGUUAAUCAUAAUUUUAAAGUUAAAAUGAUAGCCUAAGGUAAACUACCUUUUAUGUUAAGCAUGCAAUAAUGUGUGCACAGAAUUGAUUUGAAAAGUUAUUCCAAUGUAGCAAUUAAAUUAUUGUAUAUAAUGGGAAUGUAGUCUUCAAGGACGUGAAAUAAAAUUCAAUGUAAAAAUUCA